rnacentral:rRNA from 1 species
GAUGAACGCUGGCGGCGUGCCUAAUACAUGCAAGUCGAGCGAACAGACGAGGAGCUUGCUCCUCUGACGUUAGCGGCGGACGGGUGAGUAACACGUGGAUAACCUACCUAUAAUACUGGGAUAACUUCGGGAAACCGGAGCUAAUACCGGAUAACAUGUUGAACCGCAUGGUUCAACAGUGAAAGACGGUCUUGCUGUCUCUUAUAGAUGGAUUCGCGCAGCAUUAGCUAGUUGGUAAGGUAACGGCUUACCCAGUCAACGAUGGGUAGCCGACCCGGAUGGAGGGACAGCCACACUAGAACUGAGACACGCUCCAGACUCCUUAGAGAGGCAACAGUAUGGAAUUUUCCGCAAUGGGCGAAAGCCUGACGGAGCAACGCCGCGUGAGUGAAGAAGGUCUUCGGAUCGUAAUACUCUGUUAUUAGGGAAGAACAAAUGUGUAAGUAACUAUGCACGUCUUGACGGUACCUAAGCAGAAAGCCACGGCUAACUACGUG